GUUUUGUUUUUAAUUUGUUUUUAGAAGUAUUUUAGUUAAACAUUUAUGAAAAUGAUUGAAAGAUAUACAAUACGCUUGACGUAACCUCUGACGUGAACGUUUCUCGAACUUGAUUUUUUGUGGCCAAAGCCUCCACCAGGAGUCGCUGAUUUACGCCGCACAAAUUUGCAGUCAGUUUUUCGCACUUCCGAUGGCAGUUUACGUCACAGUCUAAAAAACAAACCUGGCGCUGGAAGAAUACUCGCUUGCAGUUUUUCACACAAAGGAUUUUUCAAUUAAUUUGCAAUAAAGCCAUGCGAAAGCCGAAGUUCGUGCAGUGUGUUAAGAGAAAAUUAGUUGAAAUGACAGCUGAUGAGUAUAUUUACAGGUACGUCUUCGCCCACCACCGAAUCCCGCCCGCCCUCCGCCGAACGCUAUGCCAGGUGAUUGAUUGAUGAUCUUGUGUGCAAUAAUAGAUCAUACAUGUGACUAUAGUCAUUUCAGGAUCUCGGAAGGAACUCAUUAAUAGCAAAUGACUCGAUAGCUAAUUAAAAAUCUUUUGUGUUGUACAA